rnacentral:rRNA from 1 species
AGAGUUUGAUCCUGGCUCAGAGUGAACGCUGGCGGCGUGCCUAACACAUGCAAGUCGAACGAGAACGGCUCUAGCUUGCUAGAGUGUCAGCUAAGUGGCGCACGGGUGAGUAAUAUAUAGUUAAUCUGCCCCAAAGAAGAGAAUAAUUGUUGGAAACGACUUGUAAUGCUCUAUAUGCCUUUAUCACAUAAGUGAGCAAGGGAAAUAUUUAUAGCUUUGGGAUGAGACUGUACGGUAUCAGCUAGUUGGUGAGGUAAUGGCUCACCAAGGCUAUGACAUCUAACUGGUUUGAGAGGAUGAUCAGUCACACUGGAACUGAGACACGGUCCAGACUCCUACGGGAGGCAGCAGUGGGGAAUAUUGCACAAUGGAGGAAACUCUGAUGCAGCAACGCCGCGUGGAGGAUGACACAUUUCGGUGCGUAAACUCCUUUUAUAUGAGAAGAUAAUGACGGUAUCAUAUGAAUAAGCACCGGCUAACUCCGUGCCAGCAGCCGCGGUAAUACGGGGGGUGCAAGCGUUACUCGGAAUCACUGGGCGUAAAGAGCAUGUAGGCUGGUAAUUAAGUUGGAAGUGAAAUCCUAUGGCUCAA